rfam:Dichanthelium oligosanthes cultivar Kellogg 1175 unplaced genomic scaffold Do_version_2_scaffold2099, whole genome shotgun sequence.
AUUCUGUGGUGAGGGCAACCCAAGAGAUACUCUUGGAAGCGUUCCCACACUUCAGGGAUUGACUCGUCUGAUGCCUGUUGGAAAUUGGUUAUCCUUCCACGAAGGGC